GGUUAAGUUAGAAAGGGCGCACGGUGGAUGCCUUGGCACUAGGAGCCGAAGAAGGACGGGACUAACACCGAUAUGCUUUGGGGAGCUGUACGUAAGCGUUGAUCCAGAGAUUUCCGAAUGGGGGAACCCACUAUCUUUAGUCGGAUAGUAUCCUUACGUGAAUACAUAGCGUGAGGAAGGCAGACCCAGGGAACUGAAACAUCUAAGUACCUGGAGGAAGAGAAAGAAAAAUCGAUUUCCUGAGUAGCGGCGAGCGAAACGGAAAGAGCCCAAACCAAGAAGCUUGCUUCUUGGGGUUGUAGGACACUCUAUACGGAGUUACAAAAGAAAGUUAUAAAUGAAGCGGUCUGGAAAGGCCCGCCAAAGACGGUAACAGCCCGGUAGUUGAAAUGGCUUUCCCUCCAGAGUGGAUCCUGAGUACGGCGGAACACGUGAAAUUCCGUCGGAAUCCGGGAGGACCAUCUCCCAAGGCUAAAUACUCCCUAGUGACCGAUAGUGAACCAGUACCGUGAGGGAAAGGUGAAAAGCACCCCGGAAGGGGAGUGAAACAGUUCCUGAAACCGUGUGCCUACAAGUAGUUAGAGCCCGUUAAUGGGUGAUAGCGUGCCUUUUGUAGAAUGAACCGGCGAGUUACGAUUUGUUGCAAGGUUAAGCGGAAAAAGCGGAGCCGUAGCGAAAGCGAGUCUGAAUAGGGCGCAUAAGUAACAGGUCGUAGACCCGAAACCAGGUGAUCUACCCAUGUCCAGGAUGAAGGUAAGGUAAUACUUACUGGAGGUCCGAACCCACGCACGUUGAAAAGUGCGGGGAUGAGGUGUGGGUAGCGGAGAAAUUCCAAUCGAACUUGGAGAUAGCUGGUUCUCUCCGAAAUAGCUUUAGGGCUAGCCUCGAGGUAAAGAGUCAUGGAGGUAGAGCACUGUUUGGACUAGGGGCCCUUCUCGGGUUACCGAAUUCAGAUAAACUCCGAAUGCCAUGUACUUAUACUCGGGAGUCAGACUGCGAGUGAUAAGAUCCGUAGUCGAAAGGGAAACAGCCCAGACCACCAGUUAAGGUCCCCAAAUAUAUGUUAAGUGGAAAAGGAUGUGGGGUUGCUUAGACAACCAGGAUGUUGGCUUAGAAGCAGCCACCAUUGAAAGAGUGCGUAAUAGCUCACUGGUCGAGUGACCCCGCGCCGAAAAUGUACCGGGGCUAAACAUAUUACCGAAACUGUGGAUGAACCUCUUUAGAGGUUCGUGGUAGGAGAGCGUUCUAAGGGCGGUGAAGUCAGACCGGAAGGACUGGUGGAGCGCUUAGAAGUGAGAAUGCCGGUAUGAGU
rnacentral:rRNA from 1 species